GGCGUCAGGAUAGAACGACUGGCGGCGUGCUUAACACAUGCAAGUCGAACGGACACGGUAAUGAAACCUAGUGAUUUAUCUGUUAGUGGCGGACGGGUGAGUAACGCGUGGGUAACCUGCCGUAUACAGGGGGAUAACACUUAGAAAUAGGUGCUAAAACCGCAUAAGCGCACAGGAUCGCAUGGUCCGGUGUGAAAAACUCCGGUGGUAUACGAUGGACCCGCGUCUGAUUAGCUUGUUGGCGGGGUAGAGGCCCACCAAGGCGACGAUCAGUAGCCGGCCUGAGAGGGUGAACGGCCACAUUGGGACUGAGACACGGCCCAAACUCCUACGGGAGGCAGCAGUGGGGGAAUAUUGCACAAUGGGGGAAACCCUGAUGCAGCGACGCCGCGUGAGUGAAGAAGUAUUUCGGUAUGUAAAGCUCUAUCAGCAGGAAAGAAAAUGACGGUACCUGACUAAGAAGCCCCGGCUAACUACGUG
rnacentral:rRNA from 1 species